UACAGAGGUCCCAAGCGUUGUCCGGAUUCACUGGGCGUAAAGGGUGCGCAGGUGGGUUGGCAAGUUUGAUGUGAAAGCCCCGGGCUUAACCCGGGAAUGGCAUUGAAUACUGCUGAUCUGGAGGAUUGGAGGGGGGACUGGAAUUCUUGGUGUAGCAGUGAAAUGCGUAGAUAUCAGGAGGAACACCAAUGGCGAAGGCAGCACUCUGGGACGUGACUGACGCUGAGACGCGAAAGCCAGGGGAGCAAACGGG
rnacentral:rRNA from 1 species